AGAUAACGUCAUCUGCGAGGCUUUCCACUCCUCACAUUAUUCCUCCCUGAGAAAAGAACUUUACAACCUUUCGGCCUUCGUCGUUCACGCGGCGUCGCUCCGUCAGACUUUCGUCCAUUGCGGAAGAUUCUUA
rnacentral:rRNA from 1 species